rnacentral:rRNA from 1 species
AUUGAACGCUGGCGGCAGGCCUAACACAUGCAAGUCGAGCGGUAGCACAGAGAGCUUGCUCUCGGGUGACGAGCGGCGGACGGGUGAGUAAUGUCUGGGAAACUGCCUGAUGGAGGGGGAUAACUACUGGAAACGGUAGCUAAUACCGCAUAACGUCGCAAGACCAAAGUGGGGGACCUUCGGGCCUCAUGCCAUCAGAUGUGCCCAGAUGGGAUUAGCUAGUAGGUGGGGUAACGGCUCACCUAGGCGACGACCCCUAGCUGGUCUGAGAGGAUGACCAGCCACACUGGAACUGAGACACGGUCCAGACUCCUACGGGAGGCAGCAGUGGGGAAUAUUGCACAAUGGGCGCAAGCCUGAUGCAGCCAUGCCGCGUGUGUGAAGAAGGCCUUCGGGUUGUAAAGCACUUUCAGCGGGGAGGAAGGCGUUAAGGUUAAUAACCUUGGCGAUUGACGUUACCCGCAGAAGAAGCACCGGCUAACUCCGUGCCAGCAGCCGCGGUAAUACGGAGGGUGCAAGCGUUAAUCGGAAUUACUGGGCGUAAAGCGCACGCAGGCGGUCUGUCAAGUCGGAUGUGAGAUCCCCGGGCUCAACCUGGGAACUGCAUUCGAAACUGGCAGGCUAGAGUCUUGUAGAGGGGGGUAGAAUUCCAGGUGUAGCGGUGAAAUGCGUAGAGAUCUGGAGGAAUACCGGUGGCGAAGGCGGCCCCCUGGACAAAGACUGACGCUCAGGUGCGAAAGCGUGGGGAGCAAACAGGAUUAGAUACCCUGGUAGUCCACGCCGUAAACGAUGUCGAUUUGGAGGUUGUGCCCUUGAGGCGUGGCUUCCGGAGCUAACGCGUUAAAUCGACCGCCUGGGGAGUACGGCCGCAAGGUUAAAACUCAAAUGAAUUGACGGGGGCCCGCACAAGCGGUGGAGCAUGUGGUUUAAUUCGAUGCAACGCGAAGAACCUUACCUGGUCUUGACAUCCACAGAACUUAGCAGAGAUGCUUUGGUGCCUUCGGGAACUGUGAGACAGGUGCUGCAUGGCUGUCGUCAGCUCGUGUUGUGAAAUGUUGGGUUAAGUCCCGCAACGAGCGCAACCCUUAUCCUUUGUUGCCAGCGGUCCGGCCGGGAACUCAAAGGAGACUGCCAGUGAUAAACUGGAGGAAGGUGGGGAUGACGUCAAGUCAUCAUGGCCCUUACGACCAGGGCUACACACGUGCUACAAUGGCAUAUACAAAGAGAAGCGACCUCGCGAGAGCAAGCGGACCUCAUAAAGUAUGUCGUAGUCCGGAUUGGAGUCUGCAACUCGACUCCAUGAAGUCGGAAUCGCUAGUAAUCGUAGAUCAGAAUGCUACGGUGAAUACGUUCCCGGGCCU